GACGACGCUGGCGGCGUGGAUUAGGCAUGCAAGUCGAACGGUAUCAUCCUUCGGGGGUGAGAGAGUGGCGAACUGGUGAGUAACACGUAGGUUAUCUACCCUCAAGACGGGGACAACCCAGGGAAACUUGGGCUAAUACCGGAUGUGAGCAACUUUUAGUUGUUUGAAAGGUGGCGUAAGCUGUCGCUUGGGGAUGAGCCUGCGUCCUAUUAGUUAGUUGGUGAGGUAACGGCUCACCUAGGCAAUGAUAGGUAGGCGGCCUUAACGGGUGGUCGCCCACACUGGGAUUGAGAUACGGCCCAGACUCCUACGGGAGGCAGCAGUCGAGAAUAGUCUACAAUGGCCGAAAGGCUGAUAGUGCGACGCCGCGUGAACGAAGAAGCCCUUCGGGGUGUAAAGUUCUUUUAUAUGUGAGCAGUGCUUUCUAUGUGAACAGCAUGGGGAGAGAGAUAUUAGCAUAUGAAUAAGCAACGGCUAACUCCGUG
rnacentral:rRNA from 1 species